rnacentral:rRNA from 1 species
UGACCUCAAAUCGGGUGAGACUACCCGCUGAACUUAAGCAUAUCAAUAAGCGGAGGAAAAGAAACUAACAAGGAUUCCCCUAGUAACUGCGAGUGAAGCGGGAAAAGCUCAAAUUUAAAAUCUGGUGGCCUUUGGUCAUCCGAGUUGUAAUUUAGAGAAGCGUCUUCCGCGCUGGACCGUGCACAAGUCUCCUGGAACGGAGCGUCAUAGAGGGUGAGAAUCCCGUCUUUGGCACGGACAUGCCAGGGCUUUUGUGAUGCGCUCUCGAAGAGUCGAGUUGUUUGGGAAUGCAGCUCAAAAUGGGUGGUGAACUCCAUCUAAAGCUAAAUAUUGGCGAGAGACCGAUAGCGAACAAGUACCGUGAGGGAAAGAUGAAAAGCACUUUGGAAAGAGAGUGAAACAGUACGUGAAAUUGUUGAAAGGGAAACGCUUGAAGUCAGUCGCGUCGACCGAGACUCAGCCUUGCCUUGGCUUGGUGUACUUCUCGGCUGACGGGUCAGCAUCAAUUUUGCCCCUUGGAUAAUGGCGAGGGAAAUGUGACACCUUUACGGUGUGUUAUAGUCUCUUGUCGCAUGCAAGGGUUGGGAUUGAGGAACUCAGCACGCGCCUUUGGGUGUCGGGGUAUUCGCCCACGAUACGUGCUAGGAGUGC